UUCUGAUUUACUUUCAAGCUUCUUGCAGCUACUAUUACACCCUGUAGACAUUUGUCCGUACGGAUUUAUUCUUUUUUUUCUCAAUUUGUCCAUGAAAACCGUCGAAUUUUCAGAAUCGUUGGGUAAGCUUGGGAAAAUUCAGAGGAAAGUUACUCUCAAAAAGAGAAGAGUAGAAAUGCAUUUCACUCAGAAAAUGCAAUUUGAGGUCGACAACAAGGUGCAGGCAUGUGGAGCAGCGAGGGAGCGAUAGCUCAAUGCAAGGCAGUAGGACGACUAAGGACGAUGCAGGGGAGCUCAAACCGGACUUGUC